AUUCCAACCCUUCCUCAGGGUAAUGUUCCACCAUUGCCCACUAUCCCAUCUCUGCCACAGCCUACCCUGCCAUCUAUGCCUACAACUUUGCCUCCACUUCCUAGCAACAUCCCUACCCUGCCAUCUAUGCCUACCACUUUGCCUCCACUUCCUAGCAACAUCCCUAACAUUCCAACAAUUCCACAGCUCAACGUUCCUCCAUUGCCCUCCAUCCCCACAUUCACAAUUCCAACUACUAUGCCCUCCAUCCCAUUCCUCUCCCCACCACCUUCCACCUCCACCCCUUAAAGUACCUUACAUUUCUUCAUCCUGGGCAAGCUCCUAUCUGAUUCUGAUUUCCUACCAGUGCCUAGUUGCAUGCAUGCUAUAGAUAUGGCCUGAUUACUUUUAUGUGAGAGUGUUGUGUGGUGUUUUCCUCCUACUUC
rnacentral:lncRNA from 1 species